UGGGGAAUAUUGCACAAUGGGCGAAAGCCUGAUGCAGCAACGCCGCGUGAAGGAAGAAGGGUUUCGGCUCGUAAACUUCUAUCAAUAGGGAAGAAACAAAUGACGGUACCUAAAUAAGAAGCCCCGGCUAACUACGUGCCAGCAGCCGCGGUAAUACGUAGGGGGCAAGCGUUAUCCGGAAUUACUGGGUGUAAAGGGAGCGUAGGCGGCAUGGUAAGCCAGAUGUGAAAGCCUUGGGCUUAACCCGAGGAGUGCAUUUGGAACUAUCAAGCUAGAGUACAGGAGAGGAAAGCGGAAUUCCUAGUGUAGCGGUGAAAUGCGUAGAUAUUAGGAAGAACACCAGUGGCGAAGGCGGCUUUCUGGACUGAAACUGACGCUGAGGCUCGAAAGCGUGGGGAGCAAACAGG
rnacentral:rRNA from 1 species